rnacentral:rRNA from 1 species
ACGGGAGGCAGCAGUGAGGAAUAUUGGUCAAUGGAGGCAACUCUGAACCAGCCAUCUCGCGUGAAGGAAUACGGCCCUACGGGUCUUAAACUUCUUUUAUAGGGGGAUAAAGUGAGCCACGUGUGGCUUUUUGUAGGUACCCUAUGAAUAAGCAUCGGCUAACUCCGUGCCAGCAGCCGCGGUAAUACGGAGGAUGCGAGCGUUAUCCGGAUUUAUUGGGUUUAAAGGGUGCGCAGGCGGCACGUUAAGUCAGCGGUGAAAUGUCGGGGCUCAACCCGGGCACUGCCGUUGAAACUGGCGAGCUUGAGUACGGAUGAAGUCGGCGGAAUGUGAUGUGUAGCGGUGAAAUGCUUAGAUAUGUCACAGAACACCGAUUGCGAAGGCAGCUGACUAAUCCGCAACUGACGCUCAGGCACGAAAGCGUGGGGAUCGAACAGGAUUAGAUACCCUGGUA